CAUUCUUUUUGGUGCAGCUGUCAGCCACUCAUGGCGUUAAUGGCCAUGAGUGGAACACUUUGACAAGGAACGGCCAAGAUUUGGCCAUCAAUUUCCUUCAAAACGGACUCUUUCUUUGUUUCUUCUUCUCCGUUUUAUUUUGAAACCAAAACCCAGCAAAAUCGAGUGAGACCGAGAGUUUUGGUGAGGAAGAAAAUUGGAAAACUUAAAGUGAGUGUGAGUGUUGCCGAGAGGGAGUUCUUGUACAUCAAAGAAGGAGUCUUCCCUCUAUUUUAAGCUUGAAUUUGCAGCAACUUCAUCGAAUUGUUGUUGUUACAUCUGCUGUCACUAUUUUGCAGUUUCUCAAGUCUUCGAAAAGCCCGACUUUUCCUCGUGUUCUUCAGCCCGUUUCUGCCACUUCUUUGAGGUAAGGUGGUUAUAUUAUGGGUGAUGCAAGUAUGGCUUUUCUAGAUACUUAUUCAUUCAGCAAAUCUUUUCAAAAAAACAAAAAGAAAGUGGUGAUUUAAGUUGAAAAGGGUGAGUGAGUUUGCAUUACAUUUCUUUUUUAUGAUUUAUUUACUGUUCUUGAUGAAUUUUAAUAUUGAAUAUGGUGUUUUAACUUCAACAGAUGGUGGAUGAUGUUUUAAAAAGUAGAAUAUGGGAAAACUGGGACGAAGGCAGAGGCUUAAUUUCCUCUAUUAAGCAGGUUGGGCAUUAAAAUGCCUCUGUUUCAGAACCACACGGCUUGCUGUGUUGAUUUACAGAGGAGGGGUUUUUUCGGGCCUUCAAAAUGGCUUGGAAUUCCCUCUGCCACUAUACACAGCCUGUUUCCCUUGGGCUGGUUGCUCUCUGCAGCAGGCCCACUCGUGCAAGCCUAACAGGCAUGAAAACAUGCCGAGAGGCCAUCAGGAAAGCCCACUGGGCCACGGGCCCAGCAUGAGAAAUUUCCUCUUGGGCUAGAUUUCUGGACAAGUUGGGCUGCUUGGGAAAGAAUCAUAAAAUUUAUUAAUUUGGUAUAAUUUAGAAAAGUGUUUAAUUUCAAAUAAAAAUCUGCAAAUGUUAAAAAUAAUUAAGUUUGAAUUGAAGGACAGAUUGAGUAAGAAUUAUGUAAGAAAUAUAAUUUAAAUAAAAGAUUGAAUUUUAGUAAAAUAAAUUAAA